rnacentral:lncRNA from 1 species
UAUUGUACGUAUAUUGUCUAUUAUAAGAAUUAAAAAACUAUUUAACACUUACUAUUUGGUUAGUAUUAACAUUUUUAAAGGAUAUUUUCCAAGCUGUAUCUAUUCUUUCUUUUUCCUGCUCUCAUCUAUUCAGCUCUUUUCUGGUUCCUGGGUAUUUGCUUUUCCCUCUCUAUAUUUCCUGCAUUAUAUAAUAUAUUCAUGAUUUUCAUAAGACAAGUGACAUGUUUUGUGGCCUAAACAAGGAUCACUAUUGAUCCCCUAAUGACGGACGAAAAUUGAUUAGUUAAAAGAGAAAAUAUAGUUUAGAAGCAAUUCUUUUAAGGAUAGUUUAACUUGUUUUAGCAGGUUUGUUGUAGAAUUUUUUAGAUUACUAAUUUUACUUAUUGUGAAUAUUUGUACAUAGACCUUACUCCAAUCUUUAAGAAAGCAAAGAAGUUAUUUUCAAAAAAUCCUCGACUCGAGAGGAAAAAAUUGAGAGAAAUAAUAACAAAUAAAUUGAUCUGACAAUUCAAGUCUAUUCAAACCAAUUGAGAAAGAGGGAUGAAUUAUGACACAAAAGGCAGGUCUAUUCAAAGGGCAACAGAAGAAGAAAUCACUACCUAGUCGUCAUGGAAAAGCCCCUCAAAUUCGCAAAGGGAAAAGAGCUGUGAAGCCGUCAAAGAAUACAAAGCAGAUGGAUGUCGAUCGGGUGAGUACUCUCAUCAAUGCUUGUGAUUUUUAGGUUUAUAAUUUAUGGUAUUUUGAGUUAUUUAUGUGCUUAAUUAACAUAAAUUGCUAGCAUGUUUACCACCACCACCAUCACCAACAACAGCUGGUGCAUAUUUUGCACAGUUGGGAUAAAUUAUCUCAACGUUUAUUUCAUGUCACUUUUUGUUUUUACUUUAAUUAAGUUAUGGAUAGUUAGACAAGAGGGUUGCUCACGCCACUUCCAAUCGACAGGUUGUGAGUUUGAGUCUUUCCAAGAGAAAGGUGAGAAGUUCUUGGAGGGAAAGAUGCUGGGGGUCUAUUUGGAAACAGCCUCUCUACCCCAUGGUAGGGGUAAGGUCUACGUACACACUACUCUUCCCAGACCCCACUAAGUGGGAUUAUACUGAACUUUUUUUUUUGUUGUUGUUGCUCUGACAAUUCAAACGGAAAUACAAAUAUAACAAUAAGUAAUGCAAUCAAAGAACCAAAACAAAGAUAACUGCUAGUAGGUUACGCUUUUAAAUAUAUGAAUGUUAAAAUUCUCCUACCACAAUGGUGCCCUUGAAUCUUUUUUCGAUGUUAAUUUCAGUUUUUUCCCUUAGCCAUUGAAUAAAAUCAAGAGAAAUGUAGUGGUCCUUUUAAUACCAGUCAACUAUACUUGGA